rnacentral:rRNA from 1 species
UCGAACGGUAGCACAGAGAGCUUGCUUCGGGUGACGAGUGGCGGACGGGUGAGUAAUGUCUGGGCAAACUGCCCGAUGGAGGGGGAUAACUACUGGAAACGGUAGCUAAUACCGCAUAAUGUCGCAAGACCAAAGAGGGGGACCUUCGGGCCCUCUUGCCAUCGGAUGUGCCCAGGAUGGUAUUAGCUUGUAGGGUGGGGGUACCGGCUCACCUAGGCGACGAUCCCUAGCUGGUCUGAGAGGAUGACCAGCCACACUGGAACUGAGACACGGUCCAAACUCCUACGGGAGGCAGCAGUGGGGAAUAUUGCACAAUGGGGCCAAGUCUGAUGCAGCCAUGCCGCGUGUAUGAAGAAGGCCUUCGGGUUGUAAAGAACUUUCAGCGAGGAGGAAGGCGUUGUGGUAAAUAACCACAGCGAUUGACGUUCCUCCGCAGAAAGAAGCCACCGGCU